rnacentral:lncRNA from 1 species
UGCAUGAUUCUGCCCUUGGUGUUUGUGGUGGUGGGAAUAAAGAGGUGACUUCCAGCUGGUAUUGUCUGCUUAGAUUAAAAAAGGUAUAAGUACUCAAAUAGUCCCAGGUUCUCAUGUGAGCACCAACCAAGGUUGUAGGUGCAAAAGCAGAUCAUCAUGGGAUUACCAUGGUUAACAGCAAUGUGGAAGUUUUUUAUGUUUUACAACUAAAGAUGAAGUGAUUAGAAAUGCAGAAUGGACAUAUCUGAAUUCAGGCUGAUUACUGGUUUCACAGUGAUUGAAAACCACAUGUCCUAGUGGGAAUCUCUGUAAACAGGAUUGGUUUGGAGUCUAUGUGCUAUCAAAGUGAUGUGUGGCUUCCCAGAACACUGCUUGAGGGAGGCUUCCCUGUUGCACUUUGAGUCAUUGUAGUGUGUGACACUGGAGAUUUCUGGUCUGAAAGCUUACUGAAAGCCUCACCUGAUGCCUCCCUCCAUGCCCUCUGAUGCAAUCCUGGUACAUAAUUGCCAAAAGUUCAUGGAGUGGUUUAUUGACAAAGCCCUUGGACCAAAUGUAACUAGCAGGAGUCUCUCCCUUGAGUCUUUGUAUCCAUGGACUUGGAGGAAAUCCUGGCACCUGGGUGAAGAGGAUGAUUCACAAACAUGUUUUUCUACUUGUGUUUUUCACCAGGACAGAAGACCUGAACUACAGAGCCUCAGGGCAGAAAAGUAUCAGAUUCCCCCAUGGAUGAGUGGACAGCUGGUGGAAAGAGCUGUAUCUCCUUGUGACAUGUCAGGAUGGUCGCGACUGCUAUUCCCAGAUGGAACAGAGUUUUUACAAGGAUGGAGAUAUUGAGGUUGCUGCUUUUUUGCACAUUUACACAUAUGAUGUUCCCAGAAUUGAGAGAAGUUUCAGCAAAUAUCGCAGAUUCAGAUGGUAAGUUCUCCUUGCCAUAACCAUUUUCCAUUUAUUUACAUAUUAGCUACUUUUUAUUGGGUCUGCAAAUGGAUAGGCAAAUAUGUUCUGUAUCCCUGCCUUGUCCAUCUUCUGUCCCUCCUAAAAACUGCUGGUAAUUGAUUUGGGGCAUGAGGAAGGCAUUUCUUUCUGCCUGGCACCGUGGAUGGCUCAGGGAAAUGUUGUCUCAUCAGAGGGGGAACCAGAAUCUGGUCGGUAUCCUCCUAUCCUUCCCUGUCCACUUUCAUCAGCUCCGGGGCCUAUUGUGCCUCAGUAGUAGAUUCUUACAGAACCCAUGCGCUGAAAUGAAUGAACUGAAUUACAUGAGCUCUUUCACAUGUGCUCACACUCUUUUCUGCUACGUACUAGAUUUGGGGCCAUGAGAACACUUCAUUUCUUCUACAGUUGUAAAGGAGAAAAGAUUCAAAAUUUUUUUCUAUGUAAAAGUAAUCUCAGGGCAACACCUUUGCACAAAUAUAAUAAUUAUAUUUUACUGAUGAAUAUACUUAUAAGAAUUUCAAUGGUUGUAAUCUACUACAUUUACAGUGUUU